AGAGACUUAAACUACAAUUAGUGUUUUGCUGAGCAACUGCUGAGUUUAAUCAAAAAGGAAAAGGAAUGACUGAAAUACAGUCUUAGCUGAGGCUCUGCAGCGACUGGCCAAGCUCACCCAAGCGAGAUAAGAAAGUUCUGGAUGGCAGAUGUCGGGAGCGAAGGCAGCUGCGUGGCGUGGGGCUGCCGUGGAAGGAGCAGCUGCUGCCAAGCCCUGUGAGCAGCGAUGUGCUUGAGG